UCGUUAGGCAACCUCAGAGCCAGGCCUAGAGAGGGAAUGGGCUGCAUUCAAUUGGCUGUCUUGUAAAUGCCCGCAGGAGGCACGGCCCUGCCAGAUCCCAACACUUCUUUGCUGUUCAGCUGCAACAACCAUUUGAGAGCCGUUUGCCACUGGUAUCCCCUCUGGUGAUAGAUCCUCCAAUAGUUAAAGCAUGAGUAAAGUGGGGUGAGGGUGCCGGCCCUAACAAGGAUGGAAGCAGGAAAAGGAGCAAAAAGCAGAUUCUUCAGUUUCCCUAUCUCAGUGUGAGGCACAGAAAGGUCCAACAAUUUGUUCAAAAUCACACCACUGGAAAGGGUGAAGAGGUGCAAGGAAGAUGUGAAUUCAGCUGGUCUGACACCAGAAUCCAAGUGCUAGACCAUGACAUUAUACACUCUCCUGGACUUCCUUGGCUAUUAUCCUGCUAACAAGACUCCUAGGCCCUCCCGUUGCCCAUAAAAGAAGAUCUGUCCUAAGAAGGACCACACAUUCCAUCAGUCUGUCCUAAGAAGGACCAACCACACAUUCCAGCAGUCUGUCCAGAUUCAGAGCCCCUUGGGCCUGGGAGACAAUGACAUGACUGCUACCAGCUGUCUCAGGCCAGCUACUUAAACUUCUCGGGCCUUGGGGUCUUCCACACAGGACCAACACCUUCUCAGGGCAUCCUUCAGAAGACCCAACCAGAAUGAUUCUGGCUCCACACAACUGGACUGAAAUUCUCCCACACCAUAUACUAGCUCUGUGACUCUGAGGUCAAAUGACAUUUUGAGCCUUCAUUCAAUUAAUGAUUGAACUUAAAAUCUCUAGUGAGCCCCACUUCAAAGUUUCCAUGAACUCAAAAU